CCCUACAUCGAUACCUGCCUUUUCCUUUUGUUUUGCCCCUUCUCUGCCGGGAAGGUCAGAUGCAGACGGAUUAAAUUGGUGGCAGAGCGCCCCUGGACCGGGAGGUAAAGCCAGAUCUCAGCAGUCAAGGUCAAGUGA